UCCGAUAGCCAUGUCACCCUGACCAUGCCUGUCUCAUCUGACCUUUGAAGCUGAGCACAGCUGGGCUGGGGAGUACUUGGCUGAGAGACAAAUCAAAGUACAUGGUCUGUCAGUG
rnacentral:rRNA from 1 species